rnacentral:rRNA from 1 species
UACGUAGGGGGCAAGCGUUGUCCGGAUUUAUUGGGCGUAAAGAGCCUGUAGGCGGCUUGAUAAGUCGGGUGUGAAAACUCCGGGCUCAACCCGGAGACGCCACCCGAUACUGUUAUGGCUUGAAUCUGGUAGGGGAGUGCGGAAUUCCUGGUGUAGCGGUGAAAUGCAUAGAUAUCAGGAGGAACACCGGUGGCGAAGGCGGCACUCUGGGCCAGUAUUGACGCUGAGAGGCGAAAGCGUGGGUAGCAAACAGG